UCGUGGAGCUCCGGCUCCUUCGAGGGAGAACCCUUGCCUUUUGAGCACCUGUUUGGUUCCUCGGCAGGCCCGCCUGCCAAUGGGGACCCCUUCAAACUCUUGCAAUAACCUGUAUGAAAUCGUCUGAACAAAACAAACAAAUCA
rnacentral:misc_RNA from 1 species